AACUGUUUUAAAUCUCACCCUAACUGGUGAAUCAUUGGACACAUCAAGAUACUUCACCGCGCCAACGAACGAGGACAAGAUUGUCAAUUCACUAAAGCGUUUUUGGGAAACAGAGUCCAUAGGAAUAGACAAUUAUCAAGCUGAACCAAACGAUGAUGUCAACUUCAUUCGUGAUAUUCGAUUUACAGGAGAACGGUACGAAGUUCGCCUACCUUGGAAAGAGGACAAUCCUGAGGUCGGAGUCGACUACGAACUUUGUUACAAUCGGUUACGGUCGUUGCAUCAGAAGUUAACAAGACAACCUGAGCCUCUUCGAGAAUAUGACAAAGGAAUUCAGGAACAAUUAAUAUCGGGAGUAAUCGAGCGAGUGCCUUAUCAAAGCGACGACAACAAAGAGAACGAAAACAACGUGCAUUAUCUUCCACAUCACGGUGUAGUAAGGAAAGACAAAUCGACUACAAAGUUGCGAGUGGUCUAUAAUGGAUCAG